UACGGGGGGGGCAAGCGUUGUUCGGAAUUACUGGGCGUAAAGGGCGCGUAGGCGGCCUGCUAAGUCACACGUGAAAUCCCUCGGCUCAACCGGGGAACUGCGUGUGAUACUGUCGGGCUAGAGUGCGGAAGGGGCAACUGGAAUUCUCGGUGUAGCGGUGAAAUGCGUAGAUAUCGAGAGGAACACCUGCGGCGAAGGCGGGUUGCUGGGCCGACACUGACGCUGAGGCGCGAAAGCUAGGGGAGCGAACGGG
rnacentral:rRNA from 1 species